GACAGAGGGGGCAAGCGUUGUUCGGAAUUACUGGGCGUAAAGGGCGCGUAGGCGGCCCUCUAAGUCAGAUGUGAAAUCCCUCGGCUCAACCGGGGAACUGCGUCUGAGACUGGGGGGCUUGAAUCCGGGAGAGGGAUGUGGAAUUCCAGGUGUAGCGGUGAAAUGCGUAGAUAUCUGGAGGAACACCGGUGGCGAAGGCGGCAUCCUGGACCGGUAUUGACGCUGAGGCGCGAAAGCCAGGGGAGCAAACGGG
rnacentral:rRNA from 1 species